GUGCUGAUGAAGAGUCCGAAACAAGGACGAAACAGCUGUCCAGUAC
rnacentral:hammerhead_ribozyme from 1 species